AAAACAACUGACAUAUAAAGUGAGUUUGACCCUUAAUUUCCCAAUUGAUUUGGUUUCUUAUUUGCUAUGUACUCAGUGUAUAACUGAUUAAGGAGUUUCUCAGAAACCAUCUAAAAAAAACCUAGUGUAUUAAAGCAAUGUUCUCUUGAAGUUUUAGAGCAAAGGCAUGUCAGCUAUAGAGGAUGCCUUCUCAAGCAACUCUGAAGUCAAUGAUGGAAGUACAAAGUGUGACCUUUGGGGAAAGCAGAUGGAUAGACUUCUUUGCUCCACUGACCUGCCAGAUCUGGAGAACGUUGACCAUGUCAAGGUCUUUUGGGCACAAGACAGGAAGUUUAUGAAGAAAGUUCAUCAGAGCUGCAACACAGACACUAGACAUUCAACGAGAAAUGGGUCCUCCUUUGGGAACGAGGUGCUGGCAAUUUCUCUAAGGCCAACUUGUAAGGCACAGCUGGUAGAAAUCAAGCUGGAUUUAAAGCAUCUCAAUCUUUUCCAAUACUGGACAAUUCAUGGUUUACCAGCUGAGGUCUCUGCUCCAACUGAUUUUUGAAUGGACACAACUGGCCCCUCUCUGGAUGGAGAGACAAUUCAGUGGACUUAAUACAGUCAGAAUAGAAGAGGAUGUAUUUGUUGUUAAAGACCAAAUAACUCCUUUGUUUGAUUCUGGAUCAACAGAAGCUACAAGACCUAUUCCUGCCCUUCCUUUCUGGCUCCAUGUGGCCACAGAAGCAAAACCAAUGUCUGCAGUGCAGCCUUGUUAAAAGAUGCUUUUGUCAAUGGUUUAGUGAAAGUCUGUAUUUAAAGAGAUAUUUUGUUCAGGAGAGUUGCUAGAAUUCAUUGCUUUGUAAAGAAAAAUGAAGUGUAUUGGGGUGAAAAGCAAUUGGCUUAAAUUUUUUUGAAUCAAAGGUAAUUUUUCUAUUUCCUCCUGCAACAUUGCCUCAGUGGGGUGGAGGGGAUUAUGUAGCUCCAUGAAACUAUGAGCUAAGUCAUGCAAGGGUACCCAGAAUGGACAGGUCACAGAGGAAAAUCCUGACAAAAGGUGAUCCUCUGGAGAAGGAAAUGGCAAAACAUUUCAGUAUCUUUGCCAAAAACUGCAUGGACAGUAUUCUAUAGUCCAUGGGGCCGUGAAGAAUUGGAUAUGACUGAAUGACUGAACAACACAUUUUUUUUCUAUGCAUUAGAUGGUUUGGUCCUGGCAGAACUAAAACUUUUUGCAAUGUUAUAAAGAUGCUCUAAAUAAAAAAAAUGGACUCGUAUAUAUUAAUCGACA
rnacentral:lncRNA from 1 species